UGAUAAGGAAGAGGAUGAUACUGAUGUUGAUGAUGAUGAUGAUCAUCAUCAUAAUCAUCAUCAUCAUCAUCAUCAUCAUCAUCAUCAUCCUAA
rnacentral:pre_miRNA from 1 species